rnacentral:rRNA from 1 species
GAUGAACGCUGGCGGCGUGCUUAACACAUGCAAGUCGAACGGAAAGGCCCAAGCUUGCUUGGGUACUCGAGUGGCGAACGGGUGAGUAACACGUGGGUGAUCUGCCCUUCACUUCGGGAUAAGCCUGGGAAACUGGGUCUAAUACCGGAUAGGACCACAUUUUGGAUGGUGUGGUGGAAAGUUUUUCGGUGGGGGAUGAGCUCGCGGCCUAUCAGCUUGUUGGUGGGGUAAUGGCCUACCAAGGCGUCGACGGGUAGCCGGCCUGAGAGGGUGUACGGCCACAUUGGGACUGAGAUACGGCCCAGACUCCUACGGGAGGCAGCAGUGGGGAAUAUUGCACAAUGGGCGCAAGCCUGAUGCAGCGACGCCGCGUGGGGGAUGACGGCCUUCGGGUUGUAAACUCCUUUCGCUAGGGACGAAGCGCAAGUGACGGUACCUGGAGAAGAAGCACCGGCUAACUACGUG